rnacentral:rRNA from 1 species
UUUGAUCAUGGCUCAGGAUGAACGCUAGCGGCAAGCUUAAUACAUGCAAGUCGAGGGGCAGCAGGUUUGUAGCAAUACAGAUGCUGGCGACCGGCAAACGGGUGCGGAACACGUACAGAACCUUCCUUUAAGUGGGGGAUAGCCCAGGGAAACUUGGAUUAAUACCCCGUAAUAUAUAGAAGUGGCAUCACUUUUAUAUUAUAGCUCAGGCGCUUGAAGAUGGCUGUGCGGCUGAUUAGGUAGUUGGCGGGGUAACGGCCCACCAAGCCUGCGAUCAGUAACUGGUGUGAGAGCACGACCAGUCACACGGGCACUGAGACACGGGCCCGACUCCUACGGGAGGCAGCAGUAAGGAAUAUUGGGCAAUGGACGCAAGUCUGACCCAGCUAUGCCGCGUGGAGGAUGAAGGUCCUCUGGAUUGUAAACUUCUUUUAUCUGGGAAGAAACCUAUUUUUUCUAAAAUAGCUGACGGUACCAGGUGAAUAAGCACCGGCUAACUCCGUGCCAGCAGCCGCGGUAAUACGGAGGGUGCAAGCGUUAUCCGGAUUCACUGGGUUUAAAGGGUGCGUAGGUGGGUUGGUAAGUCAGUGGUGAAAUCUCCGAGCUUAACUUGGAAACUGCCAUUGAUACUAUCAGUCUUGAAUACCGUGGAGAUGAGCGGAAUAUGUCAUGUAGCGGUGAAAUGCUUAGAUAUGACAUAGAACACCAAUUGCGAAGGCAGCUCGUUACACGAAUAUUGACACUCAGGCACGAAAGCGUGGGGAUCAAACAGGAUUAGAUACCCUGGUAGUCCACGCCCUAAACGAUGGAUACUCGACAUUUGCGAUACACAGCAAGUGUCUGAGCGAAAGCAUUAAGUAUCYCACCUGGAAGUACGAUCGCAAGAUUGAAACUCAAAGGAAUUGGCGGGGUC